AGUUGGUGGGGUAAAGGCCUACCAAGGCGACGAUCAGUAGCGGGUCUGAGAGGAUGAUCCGCCACACUGGAACUGAGACACGGUCCAGACUCCUACGGGAGGCAGCAGUGGGGAAUUUUGGACAAUGGGGGCAACCCUGAUCCAGCCAUUCCGCGUGAGUGAAGAAGGCCUUCGGGUUGUAAAGCUCUUUCAGCUGGAACGAAACGGUACGCUCUAACAUAGCGUGCUAAUGACGGUACCAGCAGAAGAAGCACCGGCUAACUACGUGCCAGCAGCCGCGGUAAUACGUAGGGUGCGAGCGUUAAUCGGAAUUACUGGGCGUAAAGCGUGCGCAGGCGGAUUGUUAAGCAAGACGUGAAAUCCCCGGGCUUAACCUGGGAAUGGCGUUUUGAACUGGCAGUCUAGAGUGUGUCAGAGGGGGGUAGAAUUCCACGUGUAGCAGUGAAAUGCGUAGAGAUGUGGAGGAAUACCAAUGGCGAAGGCAGCCCCCUGGGAUAACACUGACGCUCAUGUACGAAAGCGUGGGUAGCAAACAGGAUUAGAUACCCUGGUAGUCCACGCCCUAAACGAUGUCAACUGGUUGUUGGGGGAGUGAAAUCCCUUAGUAACGAAGCUAACGCGUGAAGUUGACCGCCUGGGGAGUACGGUCGCAAGAUUAAAACUCAAAGGAAUUGACGG
rnacentral:rRNA from 1 species